GGGAAUUUGAGAAUUUCAGGCGACGUUCGGGAUAAAAUUUGGGGGUAAAAUUCGGGAACCUCGAUUUAAAACAAAGAAAUUUUUGGUUAAAAUUUGGUUUUUUUUGGGAUAAAAGCUGAAACGCUUUGGGCUAAAAUUGGGAUUUUUUUUUGGGUGUAUUUGAGAACGUUUUGGGAAUUUUUGGGGUGAAAUUUUGGGGUUUUUGGGGUUCUGAUCUUUGUCCGGUUUUUUCCCCCCAGGGGUGGGGGAGGGGCGGAGCCUCCCCAGCCCCGCCCAGGAGGGGGCGGAGCCUCGGGAGGGGGGGGAGGGGCCUGAGCCCCCCCAGGGCUGCGCCCACAAAGACCCAGGUGAGGGGGGGACCCCGAAAUUUGGGGGUUUGGGAACCCCAAAAAUCCCUUUGGGAACCCCAAAAAUCCUUUGGGAACCCCAAAAUCCCUUUGGGAACCCCAAAAAUUUCCCUGGGAACCCCAAAAUUUACACCAGGAACCCCCAAAAUCCCUUUAGGAUCCCUUAAACCCUUUAAAAAAUGAUAAAAUUCACAGCAGGAACCCCAAAAAUCCUCUAAAGAACCCCAAAAUUUACACCUGAAACCCCAAAAAUCCCCUUGGGAACCCCAAAAUUUUGACCAGAAACCUCAAGGUUUUGUCAGGAACCAAAAAAUUCGUUUUGGAAUUUGAAAAUUCUCCCCAGGAACCCCAAAAUUCGACCAAAAUUCGCCCCCAGAGCACCAAAAUCCCGCCAGGAUUGAGCUCUGGCCCCGCCCCCUCUGUGUUGGCCCCGCCCCUUUCUCUGACCCCGCCCCCUUUCUCUCUGGCCCCGCCCCCCAGGUGUGCCAGGCCCCGCCCUGCAGGAGGUGCUGGGGGCGCUGCUGAGCUCCGCCCACGGCCCCGCCCUGAUUGGCUGCAAUCAGUGCCCCCCCGGGGGUCCCAAGGUUCACCCGGGCCCCUGCGACCUCCGAGCUGUCAAUCACCUGCUGGAGGGCGGAGCCUACGCGUCCCUGCAGGAUUUCGCUCAGGACGUGGCCGCCGUGCUGCUCAGGGGGGGGAGGGGCUCCACAAGCCCCGCCCCCAACCCAGGCCCCGCCCCCAGCCCCGCCCCCAGCCUGGACGGAGCCCGGGAGCUGUUCCUGAAGGUGGG
rnacentral:lncRNA from 1 species